rnacentral:misc_RNA from 1 species
GAUGAAGAACGUAGCGAAAUGCGAUAAGUAAUGUGAAUUGCAGAAUUCAGUGAAUCAUCGAAUCUUUGAACGCACAUUGCGCCCGGUAGUAUUCUGCCGGGCAUGCCUGUUCGAGCGUCAUUUCAACCAUCAAGCCCCAGCGCUUGUGUUGGGGGCCUGCGGCUGCCGCAGCCCCCUAAAAGCAGUGGCGGGCUCGCUAUCACACCGAGUGCAGUAGUUCAUCUUCUCUCCGGUCUUGUGAGGCGGGUUCCGGCCGUGAAACACCGCACUACAUUCAAGGUUGACCUCGGAUCAGGUAGGAAUACCCGCUGAACUUAAGCAUAUCAAUAAGCGGAGGA